AUUGAACGCUGGCGGCAGGCCUAACACAUGCAAGUCGAGCGGAGCGGCGGACGGGUGAGUAAUGCCUAGGAAUCUGCCUGGUAGUGGGGGAUAACGUCCGGAAACGGGCGCUAAUACCGCAUACUAUCAGAUGAGCCUAGGUCGGAUUAGCUAGUUGGUGGGGUAAAGGCCUACCAAGGCGACGAUCGUUAACUGGUCUGAGAGGAUGAUCAGUCAAACGGGAACUGAGACACGGCCCAACCUCCUCGGGGAGGCAGCAUUGGGGAAUAUUGGACAAGGGGCGAAGGCCUGAUCCAGCCAUGCCGCGUGUGUGAAGAAGGUCUUCGGAUUGUAAAGCACUUUAAGUUGGGAGGCGUUACCAACAGAAUAAGCACCGGCUAACUUCGUGCCAGCAGCCGCGGUAAUUC
rnacentral:rRNA from 1 species